UGGGGAAUCUUGGACAAUGGGCGCAAGCCUGAUCCAGCCAUGCCGCGUGAGCGAUGAAGGCCUUAGGGUUGUAAAGCUCUUUCACCGGUGAAGAUAAUGACGGUAGCCGGAGAAGAAGCCCCGGCUAACUCCGUGCCAGCAGCCGCGGUAAUACGGAGGGGGCUAGCGUUGUUCGGAAUUACUGGGCGUAAAGCGCGCGUAGGCGGACUGAUCAGUCAGGGGUGAAAUCCCGGGGCUCAACCCCGGAACUGCCUUUGAUACUGUCAGUCUUGAGUCCGGAAGAGGCGAGUGGAAUACCGAGUGUAGAGGUGAAAAUUCGUAGAUAUUCGGUGGAACACCAGUGGCGAAGGCGACUCGCUGGUCCGGUACUGACGCUGAGGUGCGAAAAGCGUGGGGAGCAAACAGGAUUAGAUACCCUGGUAGUCCACGCCGUAAAACGAUGAGUGCUAGUCGUUGGGGGGCGUAGCCCUUCAGUGACGCCGCUAACGCAUU
rnacentral:rRNA from 1 species